UACAGAGGUCCCAAGCGUUGUUCGGAUUCACUGGGCGUAAAGGGUGCGUAGGUGGUCAGGUAAGUCGGAUGUGAAAGCUCGGAGCUCAACUCCGAAAUGGCAUUGGAAACUACUUGGCUAGAGGGUUGGAGGGGGGACUGGAAUGCUUGGUGUAGCAGUGAAAUGCGUAGAGAUGUGGAGGAACACCGAUGGCGAAGGCAGCCCCCUGGGUUAACACUGACGCUCAGGCACGAAAGCGUGGGGAGCAAACAGG
rnacentral:rRNA from 1 species